rnacentral:rRNA from 1 species
AGUGAACGCUGGCGGCGUGCCUAAUACAUGCAAGUAGAACGAAGUGGUGCACGGGUGAGUAAUAUAUAUUUAAUCCGUCCUACACAGCGGAACAACAGUUGGAAACGCCUGCUAAUACCUCAUAGUGUAGGAUGAGACUAUAUCGUAUCAGCUAGUUGGUAAGGUAAUGGCUUACAAAGGCUAGGACGCGUAACUGGUCUGAGAGGAUGAGCAGUAACAUUGGAGCGACGACGCGGUCCAGACUCCUAGGGGAGGGAGGGGUAAGUGAUAUAGCACAGUGGGGGAAGCCCUGACGGAGCAACGCCGCGUAGAGGAUGACACUUGUCAGGGCCUAAGGUCCGUGUAUCAGAAAAGCGGUACCUGAUGAAUAAGCACCGGCUAACUCCGUGCCAGCAGCCGCGGUAAUUC